UUGACCUCGGAUCAGGUAGGGAUACCCGCUGAACUUAAGCAUAUCAAUAAGCCGGGAGGAAAAAGAUCAUUAUCAAAAC
rnacentral:rRNA from 1 species